rnacentral:tRNA from 1 species
AUUUUAAUAGCUUAAUGAGAGUUUAAUAUUGAAGAUGUUAAGGUGAUAAAAUCUUAAAAU